rnacentral:rRNA from 1 species
GCAUGCCUACAACAUAGCAUAAUGCAUCGGAUCCCAUUAGAACUCUGUAGUUAAGCGUGCUCAGGCUAGAGUAGUACUGGGAUGGGUGACCACCUGAGAAGUUCUAGUGUUUUACAUGCC